UACACCACAGCUCACAGCAACACUGGAUGCUUAACCCACUGAGCAAGGCCAGGGACCGAAUUGGAGUCCUCAUGGAUGCUAGUUGGUUUAUUAACCGCUGAGCUGCAAUGGGAACUCUACCCCACAAGCUUUAAAACGGCCCAUAUGGUGGGCCUUCAGCAGCAGACCCAACACACACGGUCACCCAGAGGGUGGGGACCAGCCCCAUGCAAGUCAUCAACCAGCGCCGCCUACAGAACAAACCCCUGUACCACAUGUUUGUCCCUAAGACUACUGUAAAACCAAAGGGGACCCCUGGGCACCUGGCAGGGUCAUGGGGAGGAACCCCACCCAUGCAUGGGGAUGGACCAAGUGGACUCUGGCCUCCCAAGGCAGGGCAAUGACACCUCAUCACAGAGGAAGUGGAGAAGGUCACCCAUCACUAUCACUAUUCUAGUCCAGGAGGUCAGAUCCACAAUGCGGAAGUUCCCAAGAGCAGGAAGCAGAGACUGAAAGAGACCCCCAGAAAGCCAGCUUAGGAGUCUGCAUGAUAGGAUGGGAAUGAAUAUAGGACAAGAAGGAAAUGUUCCAUUUCAGAUUUCCUCCCGGGGAAAAACCGUUCCGAGGAAAUACUUUGAUAAGCAGCCUGUGGUGUGGGGGCAAAAUUCCAGGAGCACGCACAAGUAAUAAGGACGGCAGACACACGUCCUUCUGAGCCCUGGAGGAUGCUCUGCUUCAUGGGAUUUGGGUUUGGGAGUUGGAGAGCAGGACUGAGGAAAGAGCUGGGAAGCUUGGCACAAAGAGGAGAGCGAUUCUGGAUCCUGAUAUGAUGAAGAGCCAGGUGUCCGGGCACCGCACAGAGGACAACUGGGAAUGACCAGCAGUGGUCCCUGGUAAUCAGAAGUUUCUACUGAGGAUGCUAGAAAGUCACUGUGCUGUGGCCCAGGGCUCAUCCCAAGUGCCUUUCAGGGUAAGGACUUCUGGAGUGCAAGGGCGAUGUGCCCAAGUGCCUUUCAGGGUAAGGACUUCUGGAGUGCAAGGGCGAUGUGCCCAAGUGCCUUUCAGGGUAAGGACUUCUGGAGUGCAAGGGUGAUGUCUCGAAUGACACGUGAGCAAAUACCUCCAGCAUGCCUAGAAGCAGGGGCCAGGGGAUGAGGCAGAGCUGGCCUCAGGCUGCAGAAAGAACACAGGGUAGGAGAUAGAGGCUUGAGGGCAAGGCCCAGCUCUGCAGCUAAUGAUGUUUGAGACCCAGAAAAGCUCCUUCCCGCUCUCUGCUUUAUUCACUCAACCCUAAAAAGGGCUCAUGGCCUUUCAGCCCUAACAGUCUAUGACUCUGAUUUUAGUUCAACCCUCUCCUCAACACAGCAUGGGAAGGAGGGGGCUAUUAGCAGAGCAUGUGUGCAUUUACAUGGAAUGGGUUUGCUGCCACUCCAGCAUAACGAACUUUCUCACAGAUUACAUGUGCAAAGAACUGCUCAGAGUGAACUGUAAGAUCACUUCGGAUGCACUAUUGAUUUUCAUUAUUUUCGUUUUCUCCAUCCCUGAGUUCCCAGCAAUCAUCCCCCAGUUUGAUGUCACCCAGAAGAAAAAUCUUGGCCUCCUCUUUCUAAUAAUCAGUUCAUAAAGUAUCCUUCAAAGACAAUCUUCUGGGAGUUCCCAUCAUGGCUUAGUGGAAACAAGUCUGACUAGCAUCCAUGAGGACGCAGGUUCAAUCCCUGGCCUCACUCAGUGGGUUAAGGAUCUGGUGUUGCCAUGAGCUGUGGUGUAGGAUGCAGGCUCGACUUGGAUCUGGUGUGGCUGUGGUGUAGGCCAACAGCUACAGCUCCGAUUCAACCCCUUGCUUGGGAAUCUCCAUAUGUCGUGGGUGCAGCCCUAAAAAGACAAGGAAGGAAGGAAGGAAGGAAGAAAAGAAGGAAGGAAGGAAGAAAAGAAGGAAGGAAAUCUCUGUUAUGAAAAAAUUAUCCUGCAAGAGCACAAGGGUGUUUGGGGCCUAGUAUGACUAUCCAUCUGGGAGCGCUCAGCAGCCCUUCUCCUUCAAGGCUCUUCCAAUACCAACUUUCCCACACCUUUCCCCUUGUUUCCCUGCAGUGACCGAGCCAUACACCCUCUAAGCAGCACCAGUUCUCCAGAAGGGUAAGCAAGUUGGAUUUCCGGCAAAGGAGACCUCUUCUGACUUGGCAAGGGCUAUGCAGGGGACUGAGGGUCCUUUUCAGCCUUUCUCUGGAUCCAUUUUCAUCCUAGGCGAGAUGAGCUCUGCACACAAACACUGGGAUGUUACUGUUGGACACUGCUCUGCCUCUGUCAUUGAGGGGCAAUCACAGGUAGCUGUGCACAGAAUGACUUCAACAAUAGAGCAACAAGAUGCACAACUCCAAGGCUAUUUUUUUUUUUUUUACAAAGAAUAAAAACGAAAACUAGAAAGACUGGCUCACCUAAAAAACGUUCAGGACAGUGGGAAAUACGUCAAGGGACUAUGAUGGAGGGAAAGACCACAGAGAAGGGCGACUCCAGGGCUUAAUGGGUUGGCCUUGGGGUCCUGAGACAAUGCAUUCAUUCAUAGGUGUACAAAGGCCCAGUCACUGUCCUAGGUGCUGAAUCCCUACAUAGCCAAAAACAGCCCACAAGGUCCCUGCUCUCCCAGCACUUACAGUCUGGUAAGGGGAAACCAACAAUUCAGUCGUAAACAUACCAUAGACAAGAUGACACAGAAAACUGUAAAUGCUGUGAAGAAAACCAAACAGGAUGGAGUGAUUGAGAGACACCGGCAGAGUCAGAGAGGCCUCUCGCAUAGCCUGAGUGUUUAGCCUCUUUUCAGAGGUGACCUUCAGUAGCGACCUGUGGACUGAUAUCAAGGCAGCCAUGCAAAGAUCAGAACAAGGGCAUUCUGAACAUCAACGACAGACCAUACAAAGGUCCAUCGGUGACUUCCAGGGCAGAAACGAGGUCUGUGUGGCUAACACACAGGAUUUUUGUUUGUUUGUUUUUGCUGUCUUAGAAGUUUAGGAGGCAAUGCCUAAGAAAUAUAAGUGCCAGGAGCACUCCACUCUGCACCAUGAGACACAUUUUCGCUUUUGUUUGCCUAUGAUGAUUUUUUUCUCCCCCUACUUCUUUAGAAAAACAAAUGCUGAGCAGAGGUUAGGAACAAAUCUUGGCAUAAAUGUAAACAUCUACUCUGUGGAGACACAAGCAAGAAAUGUGUUUGUUUCUAAUCUGCAAAAGGUAGGAGAGGCCUUAACUCAACUGUUUGCUGGGAGACCCAGACUUUACACGUAUCCCAGUGGGUCCUGAAGCCAACUUAAUGGAUCGUCCUCGUUGAGGAUUCUAGUGUCUUUGGUGGAAGCGAGUGAGCAAAAGCAAACUGAGAUAUUAGAAGAGGCAAAAUAUCUAAGAAGAGAAACUGCAGAUAGAGUCGAGGAAAUGAAUGGGCUGCCGGCAGCAAAUAUCACUUCCGUGAUUCCUGGGAAGGAAUCACGUGACUACCUUCAGUGCGCUAGCUUGCUGCGUGGAUGGCCUCUAAUGAGGCACAGUUUCUAACCAGUUGGAUUUCACAUUGCUCAGUGCCAGCUUGGUGAUUUGUUUUGCAUGAAACACUGCAGCCUGUUAACCCAGUGAGUUACAGUUCUAGGUAGGCAGCCAGAAUCUCUCACAGCCCUGAAACCCUUUUUUCUUAAAAUAAAAAGUGAUGAGGAUGAGGAGGAUGACAAUAAAGGAAAUGAGUUCAAUCAGGUUACCAUCUUGAAAUCUUGAACGAGUCAGGCUAAAAUGACCCAAAUAAUGGACCUCCUUUUUUUUUUUUUUUUUUAAUCUUUUCUGGAUCAUGCCAGGGAAGAGCUCGAUCCAUUUUUCAACGUUUCUCUGCCCUCUCUGCUCUUGUUGGGGGAACGAGGCCUCUCCAUUUCUUUCCUUUCGGGCUCAAGAUAAUUUAGAGUUCUGGAGGAAGCAGGACACUUUGGGACUCUGGCCUGGGACAGACUGAGUGGUGAUGCUGAGGUGUGAGAAUUCAGGAGCAGAGGCAUCACACUUCAUUCAUCUCCACUGUACAAUGUAAAUGUUCUCCUGUGUGUGACACCACAAAAGCAGGCGUUUUCUUCUUUGCGAGAUGGAACAAGAACCAUCCCUAGCCAUAGUCGGUAUGGGGUCUCUCUUGCUGAUUCAAAUGAACUUAAAACCUUGGGCUGAGUGGAGUCUGAUCCCCUGCACCUGCCUCACUGAGCUGCAUCAGUGUCUGACGUUUACCAGGAAACCUCUGUGGUUCCUCUCUCCACAUUCCUCCUCCUCCUCCUGGAACAGAAGGGAACAGACAGAGUAUACUAGCUUUGAUACCAGGAAGGCAUGUCCCUGCUCCCUUUACAAGGGGACAUCUGAUGGAUAAAAUAGCUCACAUUCAAGCUUCCUCUCCAACAGGUCAGGACAAGACAACUCAGUGGUCACAAAUGGAAGGUAGAAGGUGGGUCUUGGUUUGCUGAGUUUCAGCUGCAACUGUUACCUCAACGGGAACUGUACAGAGCUAAUCCGAACACUGGCUCCAUCAAUGCAUGUAACUUAAAUGAC
rnacentral:lncRNA from 1 species